rnacentral:rRNA from 1 species
UGGCGGACGGGUGAGUAAUGCGUAGGAAUCUGCCUCAAAGCGGGGGAUAACCCGGGGAAACCCGGACUAAUACCGCAUGUGCUCUACGGAGCAAAGCCGGGGAUCUUCGGACCUGGCACUUUGAGAUGAGCCUACGUCAGAUUAGCUUGUUGGUGGGGUAAAGGCCUACCAAGGCGACGAUCUGUAGCUGGUCUGAGAGGAUGAUCAGCCACACUGGGACUGAGACACGGCCCAGACUCCUACGGGAGGCAGCAGUGGGGAAUAUUGGACAAUGGGCGCAAGCCUGAUCCAGCAAUGCCGCGUGUGUGAAGAAGGCCCUUGGGUUGUAAAGCACUUUCAGUAGGGAAGAAAGGCUCAUGGUUAAUACCCAUGAGAGUUGACAUUACCUACAGAAGAAGCACCGGCUAACUCUGUGCCAGCAGCCGCGGUAAU